ACCCCUUAUUUGUAACUAUAUGUGAGAUUUGACUUCUAAAACUCAUAUAUAGUGUAUAUCUGGUUUUGUCCUUAAAAUCGGGUAUUACACCAACCCAUCAGGCAUGUGCCUAGGGCCGCACGCAGUGCCAUGCCUACCGUACCUAACGUCUAGGCAUGCUGCUCGCUGCUCCUUGUCGUGCUGCUUUUUUUUCUCUCUCCCUCUUCCUCUUUUGUUUUCUACGUGAUGCCAAGCUGCCUCUGCCACGUUCCUGCUUUGGCUGAUCCAGUUAAGCUAAUGGUGUGUAGAUCCACAUCUAUAUGACAGUUGAGGGUGUUUGUAAUAGUAAUUUAUAAAUAGCUAGCUAAAUAAGACAAAAAAUAAAUAAAAUAAAAAUACUAUAGUGGAAGCUGUGAGAGAGGUGUUUCUAGAAGAUCAUAUUACAUUAGCUAUUUAGAAGUCCUAGUUAUUUGAUCUCUCUCCUUGAUAGCCAGUGAAAUACUUCGUAUAUUAGCUAUUUAGGAACC
rnacentral:lncRNA from 1 species